AUUUUGAGUUAUGGACACACAAGGCCAAAACAUGUGUGUCGGGCGUGCGACCCAUCAACCUACUAGCAAUGGGGGAGAAAACAUAGCAUGUCGCAACAAAAGCUUGAUUCGAGGCGUCAGCAAAACACUGCCGUCUGUUCCCUUCAGUCCCUUAGCGCCCCGGGACGGGAGUGGGGGACGGCUCUACGCGCAGGCAACAGCAGCACCGGCUCCACGAAGUCUGAAUCGAAUCUUUCUGUUGGCUUUCCC
rnacentral:sRNA from 1 species